ACUACUAAUACUGCUGCUACUACUACCAGUACUAUUACUAUUAUUUGAUAUUUUGUGUUGUUAGGGCAUUCUUUAAGCACUAAGCAUGGCUUGGUUACACAACUACAGAUCAGAUAAGAUUUUUACAAGAUAAAUAAUUUUGUUGCUUCUUCCUCUCAACCUGCAAGAAGAAAACUCAGCACAACUGUUCACUUCUCACACCAGAGCUAAACCUCUCUCAUCUCAGCACAGCUGCAGAUCCACCGCUCUACACUGUGAGAAUGAACCCCAAAACAUUUCUGUGUUUAACAGCACUCCUGUUCCUGUCUGUUCAUCUCUGUUGUGGAGGAGAUAAAGCCCCCAAGAAGAUUAAGCAAACUGCAAAGACGCCGAGUAAAGCUGAUUGGAAAAUUGGACGCACAGUUCUGCUGGCCGGUCCUCCUGCACGUUCAGCUGCUGUGGCGACAUCUAAAUCUAUAUUUGGAUCGGGAUAUGAAUCUGGACAUGGACCAACUGAUAAAGAUCUACGGGAUUCUAAAAAGAGCUUUCUUUCUUCUCGACGGUUAAGCGCAGGAAAGCUGAGCAAGAAAAAGGGUCGAAAAAACUGAAAGAUGAACCCAUCUGAUCAUCAGCAGUGAUUGAACUAAAAAAGUAAUGUAAAGAUUAAAAUGAGAUUUUCUGUAAGUCUGUCAGUAAUGAUUCUAAUAAAAUUAUUUUAAAACAAUAUGUUAUUGAGUUA
rnacentral:lncRNA from 1 species